GCUCGGACACCGUGGCAGCUCCGCUCAAGCUCCUUCCGCCCGCUCUGCCCGCCGCCGCCUGCAGGGGGCGCCGUCGCGGCCCAGGGAGGCCCCGCCGGGCCGGGCCGGCCCUGCCGCGGGGCGGCGGGACGCCGCGGGGGCGGGAGAAGCACCAGAGGCCGCCCGCCUGGGGCGGGAGCCCGGCCUGGGCGCAGCCGCCCACCUCUCUUGCAGACGUAGUCGUGCUUGUAUUUUAAAACUUCAGCCUUUCUCACGCAGUGUUGUUCCGUCAGUGGAAGUAUCAUGCCGAUUUUGUAUGGAAACGUAGCCAUAUGUGCUACGUAUAUAACUCAGAGGUUCGUCUCUUAAGGGCAGACUUGCAAGACGAGUUCCAGAAUAAAGACUUGUGUCCUGAAGGUGGCAGUAUCAAAACUCAAGAUAGCCUCAUUUCCUAGUGUCACAGAUGGGUAGUUAGUUACCCUUAAGCAGAACAUCGCCGGUAUUUACGCUUUGAAUUUCUAGAAAGUUUCACUUCCUCUGGAUCUGCCACCUCCUUUGUUGGGGAGCCCAUUGUGUAUUCUCAAGGACUCAGUGUGUUCCACAAAUGAUAUAAAAACUCCCCCUUUCUGAAGAUGACGUGAUAAAAAGAGAAGAUCUUGGCUUUCUUUCAUGGGUUUGAAUGUAAGAGUGCUUGAAUACAAACUGAUUUCCUGGAAAUACAGCAGCCUCAACAUUUUUAAUCUGUGAAUGAUAAAGAAAAAAAAGU